UACGUAGGGUGCAAGCGUUAAUCGGAAUUACUGGGCGUAAAGCGUGCGCAGGCGGUUGUGCAAGACAGAUGUGAAAUCCCCGGGCUCAACCUGGGAAUUGCAUUUGUGACUGCACGGCUAGAGUGUGUCAGAGGGGGGUAGAAUUCCACGUGUAGCAGUGAAAUGCGUAGAGAUGUGGAGGAACACCGAUGGCGAAGGCAGCCCCCUGGGUCAAGAUUGACGCUCGAUGCACGAAAGCGUGGGGAGCAAACAGGA
rnacentral:rRNA from 1 species